rnacentral:rRNA from 1 species
UACAGAGGUCCCAAGCGUUGUUCGGAUUCACUGGGCGUAAAGGGUGCGUAGGUGGUCGGCUAAGUCUGAUGUGAAAUCUCCGAGCUUAACUCGGAAACUGCAUCGGAUACUAAUCGGCUCGAGGGUUGGAGGGGGGACUGGAAUACUUGGUGUAGCAGUGAAAUGCGUAGAUAUCAAGUGGAACACCAGUGGCGAAGGCGAGUCCCUGGACAACUCCUGACACUGAGGCACGAAAGCUAGGGGAGCAAACAGG